ACUUCGGCAUCAUGAGUAACGUGCCGCGGAUUGGAGCUUGAUGCCAUUUCCAAUCCAAAAACAAUCGCCGUGCCCGUCACCUGAGACGAGUGGGGAAUUAUUAUAGCCCACGGCAAGGCUGUGUUGCUCAAAAGGUGGACCGAUAAUCAACGUUUUUCAGUUACGAGCUAACGGCGCUUCCAUCAGCGAUUUCAAGUGGCCAAAAUUAUUCAUCGAAGGUGCAUGUGCAUGUUCCUAGGCGUAUUGAUCAGCCCAAGGACAUUUUGUGAUGGUCACAUUUUCAUUGGAUGCUUCAGAUGAAUGCAUAAGCGUUGGUGAGCGAACACCCAUUUGUUUUUAGACGCUCUCAGAGGUCGGAUACCUUCACUUACCACCAGAUGUCGGUCGGAAAAAUGUAGUUAUCUACCGCCUUUAAUCUGCCGGAGAAAGGAGACUAGCUGUUUCUGAGUAACCAUAAGUUCAACAUCGAGUCGAAGAUUCCAUACCUGCCAGAGUAGUGAGAUUGGCCGCAGUGCAUCGAAUGAAUUUUCUGGAUAUAUCCCAAGAGUUAAACUACGCAACAGGAUUUGGCAGCCGACUUUAUGCUUAAGCUGCAUAAGCGUUCUGAAUGAUACGUCGCAAGCGUCAAUGAUAAAGGCAGAUAACAAUCGUACGGGUGCUGAAAAUCAUCCCGAUAUGGAACUACAACGCUGCACGGGGAAUAGACUACAUCACAUUUGUAAAAAAUGCGAUGAUUCCACGGCGAUUGUUUGAUUCUAUGCUCGCCAAAUUUCGCGCGAACACAAACGAUUGCUGGCGAAUACAGUACCAGCAACAAAAAAAACCAUCUCCACCCCGUCUGGGGCUGAGUAAAUGGCUUGAAGUUUGUACAAACAGCACCAUACACCAUGCCAUAGACAACACAAAUGGCGUGUGCAAAUUCGAUGAUUCCAAGACGAUUGUUUGAUCUAUGCUCGCCCACACACGAUACAAACGUAUUUAGCGCGAACACAAACGAUGGCUGACGAUAACACUAACAACAAAAAACCACCGCCACCCCUACUGGGACUGAGUAAAUUUCCUGAAUAUUGUACAAACAGCACCGUACACUAUGCCACAGAGGGUGGUUUGUGCAAAAUAUUUCGAUCCAGACUGAUUUUACUCAAACCGUUUGCGCGCUCAUUCAAGCAGUGCCAUACCUCUUGCUAGUGAAUUAGUGGUCCAUGGUUCAUAAAAAAUUUAUUUGUUCAAAAAAUUUUUUGAUUGUUAUGACACUAAUCUAAGUUUCAAUUACUCAUACUAUUACAUUCGAUUACCAUUCGAAUUUGGAUUUCUCCAAUUGUCCGCUUAACUUAACAUUAUGAAACGAAUUCAAAUCCAUACGCGGAAUACAAAUUCAAUUUACAUUUUAUAAUUCAUAAUUUGGAUUCAAAAACCAGCAUCUAAAUAGAAUUCAAAUUUAAAUGCAGACUCACAAUUCAGAAUCACAGUUCAAAUUAAAAAAUCAGCAUUCAGUUCAAAAUAAUAUUAAAAUAAUAAUAUCAUAUUCAAAUCUGAUUUUGGAAUUGUAAUUCACAGUUGUAAAUUCAAAUUCUGGUUUAAGAUUCAAAAUGUACAUAUUUCUGAUAAAACUAGCUGACCCGGUAAACUUCGUUCUACCUUCUAAAGUAUAAAUCGUAAUAA